rnacentral:rRNA from 1 species
AGCGAACGCUGGCGGCAGGCUUAACACAUGCAAGUCGAACGGGCGUAGCAAUACGUCAGUGGCAGACGGGUGAGUAACGCGUGGGAACGUACCUUUUGGUUCGGAACAACCCAGGGAAACUUGGGCUAAUACUGGAUAAGCCCUUACGGGGAAAGAUUUAUCGCCAAAAGAUCGGCCCGCGUCUGAUUAGCUAGUUGGUGAGGUAACGGCUCACCAAGGCGACGAUCAGUAGCUGGUCUGAGAGGACGAUCAGCCACAUUGGGACUGAGACACGGCCCAAACUCCUACGGGAGGCAGCAGUGGGGAAUAUUGGACAAUGGGCGCAAGCCUGAUCCAGCCAUGCCGCGUGAGUGAUGAAGGCCCUAGGGUUGUAAAGCUCUUUUGUGCGGGAAGAUAAUGACGGUACCGCAAGAAUAAGCCCCGGCUAACUUCGUGCCAGCACCGCGGUAAC